UAAGAGCAAUGUGUUUCACACGAUAGCAUGCCUAUUAAAGCGUAUAGGAUAUAGUCUUUUUUAAAUAGUGUAUUUUUGGUUAAAAAUAACAAUAUAACCUAUAGAAAGUGUUCUUGACCAAAUUCUCUUUCCAUGCUUAUUUGGUUUAUUACAUGCACAUACACCUCAAAUGUUUUCAUGUCAAAUUAAAUUGCAUGCAUCCUGGCUAUUAAGUAGUUCCACAGCAAUAAGACAAGACGGCUCAAGUUAUGUUCACUUGUUGUGUGUGGAACUGCAAUCCAUUACAUUCAAGUUAAAACAAGUGCGUCUUAAUGACCUGAAUACAUUUAAUAAUCAUCAGGAUCGACCAUCUAUUUAAGUUGUGGUAUUGCUUCCUCCGGCAAAUAUGGACAAACAACGCCGUCAACACUCGCCGUUAUAUAUUUUUGUUUGAAGGAAAGUAAUUUUUUGUUAAUGUUAAUAUUACGCAUUAUUAUCUAUUUUAUAUACCUAUUGAUUAUUAUUCUAUACACUUAGGAACGAACGGCCUUUAUAUUAAAACCCAAGUGUAUUAAGAAUUCAGUGUUGUAGUUCGGAAAGUGUGUGUGUUUAGUUUGUUUAAUUGUCUUUACUUUGUUGCAUUAUAAUAUUUUUAUCACUGCAUAAUGUUUAAUACUAUGCAUACAGCUAUAAAGUAGAAAUUCAUUAGUAGUGGUCUAUAAAGCACCUUGUAAGAUCUUUACUGAUCUUUACUGAUUUACGUGGUGCUUUUGUCUGUUUCUGUCUAAUUUGUGUUUAAAUAUCAUAAUUUAGAACGUCUGGCGUAUAUUCGUCUCUUCAAGACCCUCUGUCUCUUGACAACAGGUUAACGCAUACUCGGACAAUCGGGAAAAAUGACAUUGAAAUGCGAGAAGAGCCAGCGUAUCAAAAUGAAGGGCAAAUCUAAUUCGGAAGAGGAACCAAGCGGUCUUCGAGGCAAUAAUACGGGCAAAUCUAAUUCGGAAGAGGAAGCAACGGUCUUCGAGGCACUGACACAACAGCAUUUUACAUUCUUAAAACUAUGUCUUAUAAUUUAUGUUCAUCGGGACAUCCGUGAAAGUACUUCAUGAUACGAUUUACAAAAAAGGCAAUGGUUUGAAUGUUUAAAUCAUGCCUCAUCAUUGUUUAAAUUUUUAUAUGAAUGUAUUUACAUGAACAGUUUACACGUUUCUCAUUAAAUAUUAGCACAUAUGGUUUUGGAAUUAUAUAAUCCGCAAUAAAUGUUGAUGAAAACUGA